CACGUAGGGCGCAAGCGUUGUCCGGAAUUAUUGGGCGUAAAGAGCUCGUAGGCGGUCUGUUGCGUCCGCUGUGAAAACUCGGGGCUUAACCCCGAGCCUGCAGUGGAUACGGGCAGACUAGAGGUAGGUAGGGGAGAAUGGAAUUCCCGGUGUAGCGGUGAAAUGCGCAGAUAUCGGGAGGAACACCGGUGGCGAAGGCGGUUCUCUGGGCCGAUACUGACGCUGAGGAGCGAAAGCGUGGGGAGCGAACAGG
rnacentral:rRNA from 1 species